UGGGGAAUAUUGCACAAUGGGGGAAACCCUGAUGCAGCGACGCCGCGUGAGCGAAGAAGGUUUUCGAAUCGUAAAGCUCUGUCCUAUGGGAAGAUAAUGACGGUACCAUAGGAGGAAGCCCCGGCUAACUACGUGCCAGCAGCCGCGGUAUUACGUAGGGGGCAAGCGUUGUCCGGAAUCACUGGGCGUAAAGGGUUCGCAGGCGGAAAUGCAAGUCAGUUGUGAAAGGCAGAGGCUCAACCUCUGUAAGCAAUUGAAACUGUAUUUCUUGAGAUGUUGAGAGGCAAGUAGAAAUCCUAGUGUAGCGGUGAAAUGCGUAGAUAUUAGGAAGAAUGCCGGUGGCGAAGGCGACUUGCUGGACACAAACUGACGCUGAGGAACGAAAGCGUGGGUAGCAAACAGG
rnacentral:rRNA from 1 species